rnacentral:piRNA from 1 species
UGGAGAACCAGGUGCUGGUGAUUCGGAUC